GUCUCAAGCUACCCUGUAAGCAAAUUUAUAAGCAGAGGACCCCGGCCCUCCUCCCCCAUUGAAUAUCCAGACCCCUCAAUAAGGUGGGGGGGGGGGUACACAUAUUACAUGGAAUGGCCCAUUAAUAUAGGCCUCCUGUGCACCUAAAUAUUUUGCCUUGGAACACAGAGUGACACAAUUAAUAUAAUUCCAAUUGUGAUUGUUGAGAGUUUUCAAAAUUUUACUCUGAUUGUUGUUUUUGGGUUUUAUUUUUUUUUUUAAAUUUUACAUCUGGG